rnacentral:rRNA from 1 species
GUCCACGCCGUAAACGAUGUCUACUAGCUGUUCGUGGUCUUGUACUGUGAGUAGCGCAGCUAACGCACUAAGUAGACCGCCUGGGGAGUACGGUCGCAAGAUUAAAACUCAAAUGAAUUGACGGGGGCCCGCACAAGCGGUGGAGCAUGUGGUUUAAUUCGACGCAACGCGAAGAACCUUACCUACUCUUGACAUCUAGCGAAGAUUGUAGAGAUACGAUUGUGCCUUCGGGAACGCUAAGACAGGUGCUGCAUGGCUGUCGU